rfam:Salmo salar isolate Sally breed double haploid chromosome ssa05, whole genome shotgun sequence.
UGCAUUCCCUAUUGUAAGUCGCUCUGGAUAAGAGCGUCUGCUAAAUGACUAAAA